GACGAACGCUGGCGGCGUGCUUAACACAUGCAAGUCGAACGGUGAUGCUCCAGCUUGCUGGAGUGGAUCAGUGGCGAACGGGUGAGUAACACGUGAGCAACCUGCCCCAGACUCUGGAAUAAGCGCUGGAAACGGCGUCUAAUACUGGAUACGAAACUGGCCCGCAUGGGCCUGGUUUGGAAAGUUUUUCCGUUUGGGAUGGGCUCGCGGCCUAUCAGCUUGUUGGUGAGGUAAUGGCUCACCAAGGCGACGACGGGUAGCCGGCCUGAGAGGGCGACCGGCCACACUGGGACUGAGACACGGCCCAGACUCCUACGGGAGGCAGCAGUGGGGAGUAUUGCACAAUGGGCGAAAGCCUGAUGCAGCGACGCCGCGUGAGGGAUGACGGCCUUCGGGUUGUAAACCUCGUUCUGCAGGGAAGAAGCGAAAGUGACGGUAGCUGCAGAAGAAGCACCGGCUAACUACGUG
rnacentral:rRNA from 1 species